rnacentral:tRNA from 1 species
GGGGCCAUAGCUCAGCGGGAGAGCAGCGCCUUUGCAAGGCGAAGGUCGGGGGUUCAAAUCCCUCUGGCUCCACCA